rnacentral:rRNA from 1 species
GAUGAACGCUGGCGGCGUGCCUAAUACAUGCAAGUCGAGCGAACGGACGAGAAGCUUGCUUCUCUGAUGUUAGCGGCGGACGGGUGAGUAACACGUGGAUAACCUACCUAUAAGACUGGGAUAACUUCGGGAAACCGGAGCUAAUACCGGAUGAUAUUUUGAACCGCAUGGUUCAAAAGUGAAAGACGGUCUUGCUGUCACUUAUAGAUGGAUCCGCGCUGCAUUAGCUAGUUGGUAAGGUAACGGCUUACCAAGGCAACGAUGCAUAGCCGACCUGAGAGGGUGAUCGGCCACACUGGAACUGAGACACGGUCCAGACUCCGACGGGAGGCAGCAGUAGGGAAUCUUCCGCAAUGGGAGAAAGCCUGACGGAGCAACGCCGCGUGAGUGAUGAAGGUCUUCGGAUCGUAAAACUCUGUUAUUAGGGAAGAACAUAUGUGUAAGUAACUGUGCACAUCUUGACGGUACCUAAUCAGAAAGCCACGGCUAACUACGUG